CCGCCCAUAGCGCAGGUGGUAGAGCGUCCGACUUUUAAUCGGUAGGUCCCUGGUUCGAAUCCAGGUGGGCGGA
rnacentral:tRNA from 1 species